CCUCUGGCAACAUGUCCAUAAAUCCAUAAAUCCACAUUUUUUCCUUUUCAGUCUACACAAGGUCCAAAGUGGGUCACCUCCUAUUAUAGGAAGAUAUAUGGCGGCUGUUCCAGUUUCCAUGCGCCGGCAGCCUGGGCAAAAUGAGUCAACUGGGCAAAACUCCAAGACUCUGGCAGCAAGCUUGCAGGUCUGUUUGCUGUGAAGGGCCAACAAAGAUCUCCAGCCUGCUCACAGGACUCCUUGUGAGUAGCUAGCAGCCCAGGCCUCCUCCAGUGGGGUGUGACACAGCAACUGCAAGGAGGUUUCUACUCCACAAAGCUCCAUAUUCUGAGGAUAGGAGAUUGUAUAUUUCAUCCUGUAUUUCAUCCUUUUAAGUGAUGGCUCGCAGAAGUGACUAUACCGAACUGCCAGAUGUAGAAUAUUUUACAUUCAAGCAUGACUACA